rnacentral:rRNA from 1 species
AGGCCUGCGGGUUGUAAAGCRCUUUCAGUAGGGARGAAAUGCUYAAGGUUAAUACUCUUGWGUUUUGACGUUACCUACAGGAGAAGCACCGGCUAACUCCGUGCCAGCAGCCGCGGUAAUACGGAGGGUGCAAGCGUUUAUGAGAAUUACUGGGCGUAAAGSGCGCGUAGGCGGUUUGGUAAGUCGGAUGUGAAAKCCCCGGGCUUAACCUGAGAAUUGCUUUCGAUACUGCCUGACUAGGGAAAUAGAGGAGAGAGUGGAAUUCCCGGUGUAGCGGUGAAAUGCGUAUAUCUUCCGGAACACCYGUGGCGCGACGGCUACUUGCUGGACCAAUACUGACGCUGAGCAGAAAAAGCGGGGGGAGAAAAGAUUAUUAAAUCCCCCGGUCCUCCCUGCCAAARACGAUGUCAACUKKGAGUUGGGGGCCUUAUCCUCUUUAACGGAGCGAAAGUGUUAUUUGCUCCACCGCCUGGGUAUGGUCGUCRGGCUGARAAAAAAAAGGAAUUGACGGGGGWCCGCACAAGCGGAGGAGCAUGUGUUUUAAUUCGAUGCAACGCGAASAACCUUACCAGCUCUUGACAUCUUCGGAAUMUUCURGAGAUAGAUUGKUGCCUUCSGGAAAACCAAUGACASAGUUCGGWUAUAWCCCCCAUCGAGCGCRACACCUGUGUCUCUUUGCGASCACUWSKMRUGGGGAACUAUUCUGGGRCUGCUGGGUGA